ensembl:snRNA U6 U6 spliceosomal RNA
GAGCUAACUUCACAGCACAUAUACUAAAAUUGGAACGAAUAGAGAAGUUUAGUACGUCCCCGGGUUAAGGAUGACACGCAAAUUCCUGAAGCGGCCCAUAUUUUU